AGAGUUGACUAAUUGUUGUCAGCUUGUCCAAGAGAACUUAAGAGGUGAAGUGUUUUCCCAUUACAUAUUCAUGGUUUUUAAAACAAUAACCAUAAGAAGGAGCUGUUGGAUCUGCUGCCUCUAGUUUGGCCCAUUUGCUUGGUGAUGUUUCAGGGUUACACCUGGUUUUUGGUCUUUCGUUACCUUAUCAUUUUUCACGUUGACAACUGCUGGCAUGCCCGUGUGUCAUUUAGCUGGCUUUUAAUUGUAGCCAUGUAAUUGUGUGCUCUGUUGCACUCAUCUGUUUUUGGUUUAAAUUAUCGUCUUCAUAUGAACAUACUGCUGUAUAAUAGACUUAUUUGCAAUCUUUUCCGUAUUUCAGAGAGGCUAUUAUCAGA
rnacentral:misc_RNA from 1 species